GGCGCCGUUGCCGGGGACC
rnacentral:snRNA from 1 species